CUCACGUUUCUAACCCGAAGAACCCCCGGUCAUUCGCGCGAAACUCAUCUGAUAUGAUCGUCAUUGGAAGAACGUUUAAUCUUGCGUGCACUUGACUCGAGAGCGAGUGCAACCUGUGCCCCAUAUUUUGAGAGGGGUAGAGAACCCCAGAGGGUUCACCCUAGAGACCGUCGAUACGACGCUUUAAAUAAAUUUCAAUUUGAUAAAGGGAUGGGGGACGAGGGACAGGGUGGGGGCGGUGAAGAGAUGUGUGUAUCAGUUUCACCAGGCUAUGCUCGUGUUUAACGAGCUAUUGAUACCUUCCACCACUGGCCCUUGCCCCUCUCUCAAGAACUGCAGACUCGCCACAAAAGAAUCGCUUCCCCUUUUCGACUGGAUGUGUUCCAACGAGGAAAACCACCACAUGUGAUACGCGUUAAACCGCUACGAAGCUGAACAGAGCUCUAUUCUAAAGUCUUGCCCUAUGUCCUAUGUUCUAUGGGAAAGUUCAGAUGCACCGGACAAGCUAUGGAAUAAGAAAAUUAAGUUUUACGGUCAACCAACGAUGCGGGGUAAAUUUCUGCCUCUCCUCGCUUCGUGGGAAGUUUUCAGGGAAUACUGAUGCUGAAUCGUCACGAUUCCACUAUUAUUUUAUACGGCAUAUUAAACAUACAUGUGCAGAAAUAUUUCAACACUUUUGAAGAAAACGGAACGCUAUAGCUUUUCGAGGAAGCGGCUUUCUGCGCAACUCUACUUUUCAUAGAAAUACGGACUCAACAAAGCACAGGAAUUCUUUGAAAGAACAAGAAAGAACAAGAAAGAGAGAGAAAGCAAGGUAGGUUUGAUCGUGAGUAGUAUUCUCUCUGCUGAAUGAAAAAAAAAUCUGAAAGAAAGAAGACAGGAAGUGCGUAUACCUACGAGGAUCCGUUUCUCCGUUAUUUAUUAUUCUUAAUUUCUAUCCUGAAGGUUCGUCUAACGAUAAAACGAACGAACUGAGAAAGAGUAGAAGACUGUUCUCUCGCAAUAGAUAGAAUUUCAUGCAUAUGAUGGCCUUUCGAUUAUGGUAAUGAUCAUUCACGCACGGAUUCUACAGGAGGACGAAGCAAUCUUCUGUUGAUUUGUUAAGGUAUAAAUAAAGGAAAGCUCGGCAGCUGGUCAAAGAUCGUUGCGGAUCUCUAUAGAUCCUACAAUAUAAAUCGUACAGUCUGCCUUUCUAAAACACGUGCCAGCCACAUGUUGCACAAAAGGGGAAUCCUUAGUGAUCCUUUCGAGCAUCGUAGCGUAAGUCGUAGUCACAAAGGAGCUUUAGGAGGCCAUAAAUGAUUCUUUUUCGGUCGUAGAGAUCGAAGAGCAGCAGAUGUUUUGUCGCCUUCGUAUUCUUCGAAGACGUUCCACCUUGAUCCAGUCGGCAAGAACGAAAAGAAAAGAAAAGGAAAGGAAAAGAAAGGAGAAGAUAGAAAAAAAUUUACGAUUGAUCCUUCCGAGAUAUGUAAAAGCAAUUGCUCAAACAUCUAGUAUAGUAACUUUAGCAAACGAUAUUCUGUUGAAGGUAAAGGAUCGAAGUGAAUUUUGUAAGUUAAUCUUGGGCAGUGUGAACAGUUUGCCUAUGGUGCAUCUAAUGAUUAGUACAGUCUACGACAAGGGUAGAGGAACGGAAAGAUUCUUGAGAAGGAACACGUGGUUGAGAAGGAACCAUCUGUUGGCAUCCUGCUCCGGUUAUAACCCGACCUAAGCUGGCUCUUUUACUUACUUACUUACGUAGGUAUGUACAAGUUCUUUUCUACCUCGCUUUGAAUGCUUCAACACUUUUCUUUUUAUUAGGAAAAAAAAAAAAAAUACCAAUGUCAAUUAAGCGAACUCGUAGAUCAAGUAAGUAAAUUUCUUUCAGUGAAAAUAAAAUUUUUAAUUUAAAAAGUAACGUGCUUAGAGAAGAGGUAAAGAAAAAAAUUUAUUAGGUGAAAAUAAAGGCGAUUAAUAAAGCGUAAAUUUUCCCAGCAAUUUUAGUUAAUGCAAAUAUUUAGUUAAGACUUGGUAGGGGUUUUAAGAGGCGGGUGCAAAGAUCCAUACCAUAUGUUGUAUACUUUUUUUCUUUUUUCUCCCUUCGCCUUCUUACCAUUUAUUUUUACCAACAGAGAAACACACUUUUCCGACAACUUUUCCAUUACUGUAAUAUGAUAUCGAAAAAACGAUAUCAUUGUAAAAGAUGGAAUCACGUGGAACGUUUAAGCGGUCCGCUUUGAGUUCGCGGUAAAAGGUGUUCGAAGCAGGUAAAGCAUUCCUACUGAAACAGCUCUACCUGACCCACGCUGCCUGGCUUUCACGCUGCAUUUUCGACCCAACAACAGUUUCUCUCCAUGUACGAGAUCUAAAAGGAACUAGAUACCUAAAAUGUAUAAUACCUACAUAGAUGCUAACGAUAAGUGAAAAAUAUGUCAAGAAGAAUUGAAGAUAGAAAGAUACUAUAGUGAAAUUUAUCAUGUUAAAGCGUUGAAACAGAGCUUGACUCGAUGGACAGAACUACGUCAGAUGCUGAAACGAUGCUAACACUUAAAUGUCAAGUUUAAAAUCAAGUUUCCUAAAGGACAGUAGUAUCCUUCAAGUACCUAUGUCAAAAGUCUCACCUAUUAUUAUUUAUUAUUAUGUACACUUAUUUUCAUUUACUCUGAAUGUUUAAUAUUUCACCAGUAACAAUGUUUAAACACGGUUUCACAGUUGUCGAAGAAAACGAGGAGAAAGAUGUCCCGAAACUGUCUUUUAAAACCUUACUUAUUCGACUGGACGGCGAAUUACUGUACAUAUGUACAUACAUACAUACAUAUAUUGAAAGAAAAUCCGAAGGAACGCGUCGUACGAGUCUCAGAAUUAUUGAAAAGCGGUGCUCGAAAGCCCUGGCUUAAGAACCCAAUAUCGAGGGUUCUCCAGGAAGCUUUAGAUAUUGCGCAUCUACCAGAAAUCGUUCCGUGAAACGUGCUUUCUCCGUAUCGGACGAUAUUUCUCUAACAAGCAGUUUAAAGAAGGACAAGGAUAAAAGACCAUAGGAGAGGAAACGUGUGUGACGAGACUGUUUCUUCUCUGGAAUAUCCGGUUCGCCACGCGUACUGCGUGUGUCUUGCUUCACGUCACAACACACACCUGCUUCCUUACAGCUGUUCCCUGGUUCGUGGUGGCAAACUAACUCUCUUGUCAAAUACAAGGAAGUAGCGCAUUGGGGACAGCCACCCCUCGACGAAUGCAAGGAUACGUGUUUUACAAACGCCACUGCUGACCCACCUCGCAACAGAUGCAAGAAUAUGCCUUUUUUCUCUCCAUCUUUUUUCUACUUUUAGGGUGCGCGCACUUACACACGUACACACGUUGUCCCCAGAGACGUUUAUCGCAAGGGACGACGAACUCAGCCGGUUAACUAGAGUAUUGUUCGAUUAUUAUUUCGGUACAUAUCGCGCACUUGUUAUCUCUUUAUGCGGUCAUAUGGUGGUAACAAGGGUGGUUCCUCGAUCCCGGAUCUGUCAUUGCUUCGAGAAACAACCAAACUAUGCGACAAUUUCUUUUCAUCCGACGUAAGAUCUUUAAACUGACUUGAUUCUGACUGAAACUAAACUUUCCAAUUUUUUAAUAGUCUGCAAUUUAAUCCUUUAUCGAAGGAUAAUGACAUUAGAAAAUGUAUUUAUGGCAAAGCACAGGGAAUGUUUCUAUUUUUUUUUCCAGGCUAGAGAAUAUCUAUCGAUGAAACUUUAAAAGUAUUUGAAGGGGUGUUUUAUCGAACAAAGACUGGGGUACACGAACUUCCAGGCAAUCUGCGUGGAACCUGUGGCCUCUCUGUUACAGAUUCAACGAUAUCCAAAAACGUUGAAAGUUAAUUCGAAGAGAGCAAGUGGCGAGUUAGAGAGGUCGAAGAGGAAGCGGUAGAUCGUCGACGGAGGAGAAAGGGAGGACAAUGAUCCUCGGAAACGGCGGACGGGGCACGGGGCACGGCGUAGAGCGGAGAACAUCUGCUUUGCUCCGGAUCACAGCGUGUCCUCCUUCAAUGAGGCGAUCGGCGUCGUGAAACUUGUCCCACCUCGGCGUGCAUAGGUAUUCAUUAUCUUCGUCUCUGGGUACACACUGCACACGUUUCAUCCUUUUUCACCACGACCUUUUUUGGUCCACGAAACAUCUGCGGCAGCUGCGAGGCGGUGGCCUGCCGCAGUACUCGGGACCAAGCAGGUGCUCACCUUCGAAGAAGCUUCUCCUUAGCCCUACCAAUUACGCGUGCCUCUUUCUGCCUCGUUCUACCUCUUUCUGUCUCUCCCACUUAUAUUUUUUUCUCUCUCUCUCUCUCUCUCUCUCUACUCUUCUACACGUCUCUCCGGCUUUUUCAUUUUUUCUCAUUAUUACUCAUUACUCGUGUAACUAAUAUAAAUUUCUAGUGGGAUGAAUGAUUAACGCUUAAGAACGAUUUAGAGAGCAGAUGCACCAUAAAACGAACCGUUCCGUAUAGUAUAAACUAUAAACUAUAAAUUAUCACGAGUCCACGAGGAAAAAUCGAGACAUGAA